ACUCAGUACAGACCCACUUGUAACCAGCUGAUCCACGCGACUCGAGAUUCUCAGAGCCGGAAACAUUGCAGACUCGCAGACCAUGGACAUGAGACUCGCUCUACAGAUCCACUAACCGGCUGAUUCGCGUGGAUCAGCCGGAGCCGGUUAGUGGAUCUAUAGAGCGACUGAAGUAUCCUCAAAAGCAAAUCCAUAACAAAAGCCUUUCACUUCUGAAAUAACAUGCUUAUAGGUUUUAGGUUUGGUGUGUAUGGUCAACCAUUUAAAAAAGAAGCCUAAUAACAAUAGCAUAAUAAUAUAGAGAAAAUAUAGAAUAAAACUGUCCUGCUAUUGUAGCCCUCAGAGCCGGAGAGACAGUUCGCGCAGAUCAGCCGGUUACGGAUCAGCUGGUUACGGAUCAGUCGGUUACGGAUCAGCCGGUUACGAGUUGAGAGACUCUCGAGUCAGAGCAGAUUCGCAUGUCUCUCGAGUCCGCAUGGUUUCCGGCUCUGGGUGAGAAUCUCGGGUCAGUUCGCGGCUCGCGCGGAUCCAUGGGUCUCUCGAGUUUGCAAUGUUUCCGGCUCUGAGUGAGAAUCUCGGGUCAAUUCGCGGCUCGCGCAGAUCCGCAGGUCUCUCGAGUUUGCAAUGUUUCCGGCUCUGAGUGAGAAUCUCGGGUCAGUUCUCGCGCAGAUCAGCCGGUUACGAGUGGAUUUGUAGUGCGAGCGAAGUCUCAUCAAUAAUGUUGAAAGAGGUUUGUGUGUGUGGUGGCGCUGUUUAUGGUUUUACAUUGAAUUGUAGUAGGACUCAACUGAUCCGGGUUAAUGACACUAGAGACUCGCGACUCAUGAGUUAAUUUAAAGAUCCGGGUUAAAGAUCCGAGUGAGUCACGACUCGAACAGGUCUAAUUCAGUAGAGUGUAACCUCAAUCGGUUUUUGCAGCUUCUGGGUGUCGUGUCGAACGAUCGCAGAACGAUUUUUUGUUCUUUUCCAACUCGAUUUUUAACUCCCUAGACUAGUAGGAUGUUCCAACGGGUGAAGCAACAGUGCUGACGGCAGAGUUUCAGUGUCAAUUUUUCAUACCAUGAUCACUGGGGCGGAAACCAUUAUGACGUUGCCUUGGACAUCAAACUAAACCAUCUCAUUCUGGCUUUUUUCUAACAUCGAAAUCUCAGAAGGCCAGGACUAAGAUGGACGCAGCCUCCACAUGCAACCUUGCAUUUGAGGAACACCCAUAGAACGGUCAACUUACCCCAUACUCUAACCUGAAUGCAGGGAUCAUAAAACUUUAUCUUUUACCUUAAUUGUUAGAUGGGUGUUGAUACCAAACUUUUUUGUCUCGUCUACCCAGGAGAAAGUCAUGGGUUCUGCUGCUGAGUGUCUUUUAUUCUGCUUACCUGACUCAUGCAGAAUUCUGGCUUGAUGUUUGGUCCACCUGUUAGCUGGCUCUGGUGCUUGGUAGUCUUCUCAAACCUCUGAAUCAAGGCCACCAUGAGAGGCCUUCUGAAGACCAUCAUUACGCUUCAGAUCCAGUUGUCUUAACUAUGAGCCUACCACAAUCCCUGUGCACCAGCUAUGGAAAGUGCAGACCAAACUUCUACCUCCACCUAUAGAACUGAACUGGAGUCUGUGAACUAAUGCUGUGUUCGAGACAACUGGAACAGCAAACAAAGUUGAGUAUCCGACCUCUCAACUUGUGACUGAUCGAUCAGCACCAACCUCAACGAGAUGCAUCAUUUGACAUUGCAGACAAGUUGGUGGCUAGCCUUUCACAGCCUUACAUGAACCGCAAACAAACUUUAAACUAUUUUUACAGCACAUAAUAUUUAUGAACAUGAAUGUUAAAUUAUCCAGUAACCAUUUUCUGCCAUAAUUGGCACAAGAGCACAAACUUCUCCUGGCGUCUCAUUAUGUGGUAAACACGCAAAUGUGAUAUGUGAUUGACUGGAAUGCAUUGAGGUCGGUGGUAGGAUAUUUAAUGACAUAACAUCAGAAAUCCGAAUUGUAACACUGCGCAAUAUUUCACAUAAUUGUCAUGACCUGAUUAUCCUCCCAUGUUUUUAACACAACCAUUGAUUGGUCACACGGAAGCAGAGACUUUGUCCUUUGUAUCUCUCAAAAAAAAGAAUUCUAUAUUUAAUGUUAAAAAACACUUACAGUAGACUGUGUUAGAUAACUGUGCUUUUGGAAGUCAUUUCUGAUAACCGCACACCUAACUUGUCUAAUGUCUUAAAAAUAGGCACCAGAGCAAUGUUUGUGGUAACCGUGGUAUAAGAGGAAUAAUUGACUCCGGUCCUUUGAAUUAUUUGAAAAUAAAGCACACCCGCGGUGUAACGGCACUCUGCUUCGCGUCGUGCCGCAUUGCACCUUGGGUGUGCAUUAUUUUCUUAUAAUUCAAUGGCCCGUCGUCAAUUAUUCCUUACAUAUUGAAGGUUGACAGGUUUGUUUGCAUGUAAUUGCAGUAUAAUUAAUUUGGGGUUGAUAGUCCAAUGUUGAUUUGAGAGAAAUUUUUUUUUUCUUUUUAAAUCCUUUCUCUUUUUAAUGCAGCACUUAAGGAUGAACCACCCUGAUCUACUAAGAUGCACAGAUUCAACUCUGGCCCAGCAUCAUCCCCACACCUCAUCUGCCAUCAGUUUAAUUUAAUGUCUGUCAAUUGCAAAUGCUAUUUAUUUCAGUUAUAUUACAACUUAAUGUUAACUUUAAUUGAGACUAGUAUUGUGUAAAGCUGGGGUUUCCAAACUUUUCAUUUCAAAACCUAUUAGACAAGUGUAAUCUAUUCUAGACCCACUAAAAUAUUUUUACAUAUACAUUUUUUUAAUGGGGUAAAACACAUUUGUUCUCUUUCAGUGGAGUCAUUUUAUUUUCAUAAUAUUUCAUAAUGUAAAGCAGUGGUUCUUAACGUUAUUCCUCGAGGCCCACUGCUCUGCACAUUUUGUAUGUCUCUUUUAUCUGACAGACUCAGUUCAGUUCAUUGAGAUCUCUUCUAAUGAGCUGAUGAUUUGAAUCAG